UAGAAAGCAGAGCCCAGUACAUACAUUCAC
rnacentral:piRNA from 1 species